GAUGAAGAACGCAGCGAAAUGCGAUAAGUAAUGUGAAUUGCAGAAUUCAGUGAAUCAUCGAAUCUUUGAACGCAUCUUGCGCUCCUUGGUAUUCUGAGGAGCAUGCCUGUUUGAGUGUCAUUAAAUUCUCAACUACACUGACUUUGAAUUGGUGUGGCUUGGAUUUGGGGGGAAAAUUGUUGUGGGCUUUUUGUAUAGUCUGCUCCCCUGAAAUUGAUUAGCGGUACCUUUGUGGAACUGUCUAUAGGUGUGAUAAUUAUCUACAUCUUAGACAUCUGCUGGAAUGCUGCUUUCUAAACCUUACUUGUAUUGACAAUCUUGACCUCAAAUCAGGUAGGACUACCCGCUGAACUUAAGCAUAUCAAUAAGCGGAGGA
rnacentral:misc_RNA from 1 species